GAAUAUUAAAGUACAUUGCGUAUCAGUAUAUAUGUGAUUUUGGAAGUUUAACUUGAUACUGAGUACUGUGGAUAAUAUUUUUAGUUUGAAGUUGAUUAUUUUGAUAGCAAGACAUGGUUCAUUUAUAAGUUGUUUAAGGCUUGGACAAGGAAAGAUAUUUUUUAUUCUUCGAAGAUGAAAUCUGUAUGACAAUUAUGCAUGAAACUGUUAUAUAAGAAGAAAAUAUAUUUGAGGAUGACAUUUAAGAGUUUCUCCUUUGUUUACUGGGAAUGUGAAAUAUUAGAUCUUUUCAAAUUAUAAUGCAAGAUUAGUAUUUUGAUUGGAAGUCAUUUAGUAAAUUCUGAGAAUAAUUUUCAAUCUUGAAGAAUAUUUUAGGCUCAAAUGUUCUACUA
rnacentral:lncRNA from 1 species